UUUCCUUCUCUCUUCUCAUUUCCUUCCUUUUUCUCUCUUUUGUCGAAGUUUUUCUCUCUUUUUUUGGAUUUUGCUUGCUGUUUUUUUUCUCUUUUUUGUGAUUCUUGCUUGCUUUGCUAGGUGUUGGCGAUGGUGGUGCUGCGAUGGUGGUGCUGCGAUGGUGGGCAAGGUGGCACUGGUGCGACGGCAGGAGCUGUUGGAGUUGUUUUGAUUUUUUUGGUUUUUUUUCUUCUUUUUUUUUUGUUGCUAUCUGAAUCCCCCUUUCUCUCUUUCAUUUUUCUUUUUAAUCUUGCUUAUUUUGUGUUCUUUCUCUUUAUCUUCAGGUGACAGUGGAGGGCAUCAUGAACCUAGGGAGGCUACCGGAGUAGCUGGAGGUGGUAAUGUGCGCUCGGGUGCCGAUUGGGUGAUUUGACAUGUCCAGAAGGACUAAACUGUAGAGGAUGCAAAAUUUCUGAGGUAAAAAUACAAUUUUAGAAAAAUAUGGGGCCAAAAUACAAUUUAUG
rnacentral:lncRNA from 1 species